CAGAUAGUAACACUGUGAUUUAGGGUGGCGGCUUUGAGCCACACCAACAGCAUGACUUAGUUGGGGGCUUUGGGUCAUACAGUAUCAGCUUGAACUUCUGAGGGGCUGGAAACUGACAUCAGCUACAUUCACAGUCAACCAUACCUAAGUGAUGGAGCCCCCAAUAAAGACUUAGGACAUCAAGGCUCAGGGAGAGGAUAACUAGAAGGUUCAUUUGGUACUUUUCCUGGACUCUGCCCUAAGCAUUUCAUCCCUUGGCUGAUUUUGAUCUGUAUCCUUUCCCUGCAAUAAACCACAACUGAGAGUGGUGAAAAUAUUGAUGAGAAGUGGUACCAUGAGGAAAAGUUGAAAAAAGAGAAGGCAGAUUUGGUUCACAGAAGUUGCUAUGGAGCAGGAGAAAAAAGAAAAAUGCUUUGCUCGUUUCUCUCUCUUCUCCCCAUCAAACACACGAGAAGACUGGUAUUGAAUGUGUUGGCAGCAUCUUUGUAGAGAAACGGAAAUCUUUCUGAGCCUCCCAGGCAACCCCUUAAGGAGGGCCGCUCCCGGCUGGGCAGCUGGGGGUCCGUCGAGCUCCGUGGAGCUUCCAGAAGGCGCGACACAAAGACCACCAGAUGUGGGUUGCUCGGUACGCAGGCGGCAGUGGGCGUUUACCCAGCUUUGGCCUUCGCACCGCUCCCCGCAAGGCUCCGGAGACAUCCGACAUCUGUGGCUGCCCAGCUUUAUCUGUCCUACAACAAAUCCACCUCCAGGAACUGCAAGGGCACGUUUCCCCUCUCAUCGGAAUGCACGUCCCAGCCUCCUGGAUUCAUGAAAGGCGUGCUCCGCCCAGAAGCGACCUGGAGUCUCCAACAACAAUCAAGGGGCUUGUCUGCCAAGCUCUCGGCCCAACUUUCAGCGUCC
rnacentral:lncRNA from 1 species